rnacentral:rRNA from 1 species
AUUGAACGCUGGCGGCAUGCCUUACACAUGCAAGUCGAACGGUAACGGGCCUUCGGGUGCCGACGAGUGGCGAACGGGUGAGUAAUACAUCGGAACGUGCCCGAUCGUGGGGGGUAACGAGGCGAAAGCUUUGCUAAUACCGCAUACGAUCUACGGAUGAAAGCCGGGGACCGCAAGGCCUUGCGCGGGCGGAGCGGCCGCUGGCAGAUUAGGUAGUUGGUGGGUUAAAAGCUUACCAAGCCGACGAUCUGUAGCUGGUCUGAGAGGAUGAUCAGCCACACUGGGACUGAGACACGGUCCAGACUCCUACGGGAGGCAGCAGUGGGGAAUUUUGGACAAUGGGCGCAAGCCUGAUCCAGCCAUGCCGCGUGCAGGAUGAAGGCCUUCGGGUUGUAAACUGCUUUUGUACGGAAAGAAAAGCCUUCUUUUAAUACAGGAGGGUCAUGACGGUACCGAAAGAAUAAGCACCGGCUAACUACGUG